GCAAUGGCUCAGUAGAAGAGCAUCUGUUUGACAUGUAGAAGGUCCAUAGUUCAACUUUUGGCAUCUCCAGGUAGAAGUA
rnacentral:tRNA from 1 species